UACGGGGGGGGCAAGCGUUGUUCGGAAUUACUGGGCGUAAAGGGCUCGUAGGUGGCCAACUAAGUCAUACGUGAAAUCCCUCGGCUUAACCGGGGAACUGCGUCUGAUACUGGAUGGCUUGAGGUUGGGAGAGGGAUGCGGAAUUCCAGGUGUAGCGGUGAAAUGCGUAGAUAUCGGAAGGAACACCAGUGGCGAAAGCGGCUUCCUGGUCCAGCACCGACGUUCAGGCACGAAAGCGUGGGGAGCAAACAGG
rnacentral:rRNA from 1 species